AUGGGCCUGUCAAGCAACAGGCUCAUCAGGAAGUUCCCGGACUGCUGGUGGAACUUGGAGGCUCUGCAGCUCAUGGACCUGUCCGACAACUCCUUCUCAGGUGAAUUCCCAGCAGCCAAGGCAAGCCACAAUUGCUCUCUCACCUCACUAAGUCUCACCAGAAAUUCCUUUGUUGGAGCGAUCCCACUCUUUGAGGGCUGUGAAUCGCUGGCUAUCCUCGACCUCAGCAGCAAUAGGUUCAACAGCACAAUCCCGUCGCAGCUUGGUGACAUUCGCAACCUCUUCAACCUUCAGCUCUACAAUAACAGCCUCGUCGGUAACAUCCCACACCAGCUCUGCAGGCUCCUCUCUUUGCGGGCACUAGAUUUGUCCAACAAUGUACUCACCGGGGAGCUCCCGGACUGCUGGUGCAACUUCCACGCUCUGUUCUUCAUGGACCUAUCGAACAACCGGCUCACAGGGAAGCUCCCGGACUGUUGGUGGAACCUGCAGGGCCUGGAGUUCAUGGAUCUGUCCAACAACUCCUUCUCAGGUAAAAUCCCUGCAGUUGUGGCAAAUCAGAACUGCUCUCUUAGCUCGGUUUACCUCGCCGGAAAUGGCUUUGUCGGUGGCUUCCCACCGGUCCUAGAGGGCUGCAAUUCGUUGUCCACCUUGGACAUGGGGAAUAACAUGUUCUAUGGUUCUAUCCCUCCAUGGAUCGGGAGUCACGUCCCAUUGUUGAGAAUACUUAGCCUUAGAUCAAACAAUUUCACUGGAGAAAUUCCUCUGGAGUUAUCACGGCUAUCGCGACUUCAACUUCUUGACAUGGCAAACAAUAGCUUGUCUGGCUCAAUUCCUUUUUCCUUCCGCAACUUGACCUCCAUGAAAUAUCCGCAAAAUCUAUCGACUGCGACUCCACUCACAGACCCAAAAUAUGAUGAUAGAAUCAAUAUAAUUUGGAAGGGCCAGAAGCAAAUAUUUCAAAAAUCAGUGCGGUUAUUAGCCGGUAUCGAUUUGUCAGACAAUUUAUUAUCCCAAUGUAUCCCCGACGAGCUAACCAACCUUCAGGGCCUCCGGUUUCUGAACCUGUCGAGAAACAAUCUGUCGUGCGGCAUUCCUGAAAACAUUGGUAGCUUGACUCUUCUAAUGAACUUGUUGGAGCAAUUCCUCCAAGCAUUUCUAGCUUAUCGGCGCUCAGCGCGUUGA
rnacentral:rRNA from 1 species